rnacentral:lncRNA from 1 species
GCAGAACUGCAUCUUUGAGCAAUUUUACCACCCAUAAACUGGUUUUGUUACUGGUAUCUCUAGCUCCUGGAUAUCUCAUCUGAGCGGGUGCCUCCUGUUGCUAAUAAAUCAGCUGCCCCCUGUUAACUGAAUUGUCUCUCUAGCUAAUUUUCUGUUUCUUUCAAGAGAGUUGUUUUUCUGUUAAGAUACUACAACCAGGAGCAGAUAUGUCAAACCAUUUGAUGUGCAUUCAAGUACCUCCUCAAAUAAAUAAAUAAACUUGCUGGGACUCGCGCAUUUGCGUGGAUUUCCUAUAUAUUGUUACGUUUGUGAUACAGCUUAAAAGUGUUGUGCUAUUACCUAAAUUACUUAUGGAACUUUAAUUUUUUAUGGUCUUCUCUCACAGUUGUUUGCCCAUACAUGCACUACUAUUCAAUUUAAUUAUGCAACACUGGAUUAGUGGUAUUGUUUUUUGAAUGAAUUAUGUACCCUCAUUUGUUAUUAUGUUGCUGGUAAGGACUUUCCUGUGUGACAAGGGAAGGUUGAUGGAAUAUUGUUUGUCAUGCAAAAGUAUGAAAUUUCAAACUAAUUUGUACUCCCUCUAUAAAGAAGUAUAAGAGCGUUUAGAUCACUAAUAGUGAUCUAAACAUUCUUAUAUUUCUUUACGCAGGGAGUAGCUUCUUGCACACCUCGUCCUUUAGUGUCGACCACUUCACCAAUAUAUUUUUCAGAAAAUUUGGGUGUGUUUGGUAGGUCGUAUAUAGAUCAACAAUUGUAUAUCGAAGGAAGAAAAUGAGUUGUUUGCUUACUGGGUUCAUUGUUUGGUCCGCAUCGCAUAGGCCUCGAAGCACCUUCCAGCCAGGCCCGCUAGGAAUGUUGGAAUAGGCAGUUUCUUUAGAGUCUGGCCCGUGCGCUAGGAAUGUUGGAAUCGCAGUUUCUUAGAGUCUGGCCCGCACGCUAGGAAUGUUGGAGUC